AGCUUGGUGGUUAUAGCAUGAGUGAAACACACGAUCCCAUCCCGAACUCGAAUGUGAAACCUCAUAGCGCUA
rnacentral:rRNA from 1 species